ACAAGCCAAAUGGUUAAGAAUGAAUUUAUGAAGAGACAAAUGCAAUAAUAAUCUUUCUUACAUCCAUAAUUCUAGUUUAAUUGUAUUUAUGGGAAUUGUUGUCUCUUCACAUGAUAAGAAUUAUCUGUUGGAUUUUUCCUCUUUUUCUGGAUUUGUUGUGGCUUGAGGGUACUUUGUGUUAUGGGGGCAUGGGGCUGGGGGGUCACUCAAACCACAGGAGAUAUACCAAAUUGAGAACGCCUCUCCCUCUGUUGUUUCAUUUCAGCCACAUAUAUCUGAAUCCAGGAAGCUGAUCUUGUUUUUGUCACUAAAAUCUUAGCUAACCUUCUGUCAAUAGAACUAAAAAACCCAAAGACUAAUUAGCCAUGUAGCAUAGAUGGUCCAAUCGUGCCAGUGGCCAGUUCUUUUAGCAUUUUUCUAUCAAGCCUUUUCUUCUAGUUCUUGCCUAUGUAGUUGUGGACACAAGAAACCUACAAAAAAGGUUGUGCCUAUAACUUGAGCCUGGGAAACUUAUUCAACAACUGUAACUGCUCAUUGAUACCAGCACAUGAUCUCUGCAGUGCUAUUUACGAUAAAUGACAAACGUCUAAUGUUACAUAAAUAAUUUUCCUGUUGGUUCCUAAAUAUCCAGUUUUCUAACAUCACAUGCCGUGUGUGUAUGUGGUUGCA
rnacentral:misc_RNA from 1 species